GUUCCCAGGCUAGGGGUUGAAUCGGAGCUGUAGCCACCGGCCUACGCCAGAGCCACAGCAACGCGGGAUCCAAGCCACAUCUGCAACCUCCACCACAGCUCACGGCAACGCCGGAUCGUUAACCCACUGAGCAAGGGCAGGGACCGAACCCGCAACCUCAUGGUUCCUAGUCGGAUUCGUUAACUACUGCGCCACGACGGGAACUCCAAGGAAAUACAUAUUUUUUAAGGGAAACUAAAUCAUUAAUUCAUUUUGAUAUUUCCAGUGCAAAUUUAAGAAUUCUCUGAUUUUACAUUUGUAUCUCUUUUAUGAAAAAGUUCCCAGCACUAGUAUUAUUUAUUUGCUUCAUCCUAUAUUAUGUAUAAAUAGUUUCAGAAUAAUAAUAAAAAUGUUAUUAACAAUAUGAGAACUAGUUUUUUUUUUAACGAUUUCUUGAGUUCUUAGAGUCCAUUUUAAUCCUACUGGAUUCACAGAUUACUGUGCUUUAAAGUCACCUCAGACAAUUUCUUCCAGUUGGAUUAUGCCAAAAUGAAACAAAAUUGUUUCUUUGUUUCACCUAACUUCUUUAAAUUUAUUUUUAUUUAAAUCUUGCUUUUGCGUGUAAGGAUAAAAUAUUUACAUGGUCCCAAAGUCGAACAUACAAAGCAAGUUAUAUAUAACUUCUCUCCCUAAAUUUCUCUUGGAGACCAUUUUAUAGCAGUAUUUGAGUUCCUCCUGCACUUGUCCAGCUUUGUGGUCCUCCAUGAUGGGGAUGUAACCGUUUAUUCAACCAGUUCUCUGUCAGUGAUGCUGGGGUGGUUCCCACCCCAUGCAUGCUCUCACAGUAGUGCUGUGGUAAUUUGCACCUACAUCACUGGCCUGGUGUCUUGGGGAUAGGUUGAUAGGAAGUCAAAGGGUAAAUGUAUAUGCAUUUUUUAAUAAUUUGAUAAAUUAACUUGCUUUUCCAAGAGAGCAGUGCCUUCCUCUCACCAACAUCCUUUGAGAGUAGACUGGUUUGAAAUGCUUGUUGGCACAGCAGUGACACUCAGCUCAGUGUCCCUGUGUGUUACAGGUGCCCUUGCUUCACCCCUUGAGCCCUUGAUUAGUCACCAUGUCGCAGGAGACAGACCUGCAGCCACAUAGACCAGGUGCAGACAAGGAAGUGUGGCAAGACUGUGCUGAGUUAAAACUGAAAGCCAGGGCCAUUUAGAUGCCCAAUCUCCUAUGGCCAUGCAUUUCCUCUGUGUUCUUCUAGAUCAUUCCUUCUUAUGAACACACAUCUGCUUGUGAGUGGGUACAUGUCUGAAUGUGUCAGACAUCAGGUUUCAAUGACUUGUAAGUGCCUUCUGAUCACAUGUCAACACAUCCUCAGUUCUUUCCUUCAAAGAAAGAUAUUUAUUGAACAGCUGAUGUGUCCUCAACAUACAUUAGAAGUACCAGGCAGAUUCUUCACCUUUCCUGGGGUUCAGAAUUAUUUCUGUGAGGGUGAAAUUGGACUUGAUGGGAAAACAACAGGGCCUUCCCCACAGGUGAUCUGUUGGGAAUGUCGGACUGAAGUAGUAGUGCUUAAUACUUCCCUGGGCUGUUAUCCCUUUUCUUCUCAGGUUUACUUUGGGAAAUUGUUGCUCACACUUAAAAAUCCCCCCAACUUUUGGACAGCACAGUUGCUUCCCAACUUGCACCUCCCCCUCUGCUGCAAUAUAGAAUCAGAAGUUGGAAUUAAUCCCACUACUCCUUGGCAGAGAAAUUGGUCUAGCCAUGAUCAGCCUGGCCCAAGCCACCUAGCAUAUGGUAUUUCCCUGGCCAGAGGGUGUUACUCAGGAGUGGAAAGACAACCCAGAUUAGUCUAAUUAGAAUAGAAGGAAGCCCAGGACCAUUCUUUGAUGGGGGGAGGCCAAGAAGGCCUCUUGCUCCUGGAAAUUGUAGUAUGCCAGUGUGAAGCCUAGAAAUGCUACAUUUUACAGGCAAGGAGGAAAACGAGUCUGAGUACAAAAAUCUUGCACAGAAGGUUACUGUUAAGGCAAAUUUCCUGUUUUCUGUUACUUGCAACCAAAGUGGGCUUCUGGAUUUUUCAUCACAAUUUUUAGUGUAAUGAUAGAAAACAACGGAACUUCUCAACAGAAGGUUCAAAAAUGCUAUCAAAUGUCAGCUGUUGAUAUUACCUCAACAGUUGUAUCAUUCAAGUACCUAUAUAUUUGGAUUUCCCAAGAAAACCUUCAUAAAUUUUUGUGCUCCAACCCAGUGCAUACUUUCCAAAGGUAGACUGGGCUGAAUUGUAUGAUUGUUUUAAUGUGAUUAUUUCCCCUCUACUUCCUUUUUCAGUAGCCAGAAUUAACAACCAGUGGUGGAAUGAAUUCCCCCACAUUGAUAUAAAGACAGUGAGCACCUUCAGAGCAGUUGCUUUUGCAGUCCUUCCAGAUGAACAGCCAGGCCUAAAGUUGGGAGUGCAAGAGAAGAAAUGGUGUUGCCAGCACAAGCUGGCACAGCUCAAGGAAGUGGACCCUCUAGCCAGGGCCCAAGAAAAGCCCCAGCCAGUGUUGAGCGGUGCCCAUGUUUUGUUUCAUAUAAAACCCAGUGCCUGUCCUGAUGUUGGCCCCCACAGCCCCCCACCAUGUGUACCAGGCACCAUACUGAGCCCUGCCCCUGCUUUAGCUCAUUCGGUCUUCCCCUGCCCAAGGUAGGUACCCGCAUCCCCGUUUUACUGAUGAAUGAGGGAAUAGAAGCACAGAAUGCUACUGUUAAGGCAAAUGAUGUGUGUUUAUUAAAUAGAAUAAAGGUCAGCCAGGUACAUAAUAGGCCCUCAAUAAAUAUUUGUCAAGUGAAUGAAUGUUAUAUAUUUUACUGGGGUUGCCAGAGGCUGGCACCUCAUUAGUACCUUCUUUCAGGACUGCAGCACCUGCACCAGGCCCUGGGAAGGCAGGAGUCCUGCCCUCAUGGAACUCACAGUCUGGUUUGAGAGAAAGACAUUAAGCCAAGAACUAACCAGUGUGGAUAGGUGUGCGUGGGGAGACGACCAGGGACUGCCUGCUCAGGGGGUUGAGGGACUUUCCUGAGGAAGUGCCAUUGCAACAGGUAAGGUGCCUGCCUCACCCAGAUGGCAGGCAUAGCGUUUCCACAGUAGGAAUAGUGGGCAUGCCAGCCCUGAGUGGGGAGCCUGGUGCAGGGGAUGAAAUCAAGGCAUGGUCUCAGGAAAGGGUAGAGGGGUGCGGUCAAGGCUCAGAGGAGGGGGUCCGAGCCAGGCUCAGAGGUCUCCUUGGCCACAGUUAGGAUUUUAAUCCCAAGAGCAAGGGGAAGCCAGUGAAGGCGUCUGAGCUUUAUGACUCAAGAAAAAGAUUUUAUUCCUUAACCUGAUGGUGAGGACAUGACUUUUUAUAGCACUUGAAUGUCUGCAUCAUCUUAAGAGAUUCGAUUCUGUGAAGACCACUCUCAGAACUGGAUCGGGGGAGGUCGGAGGAAAGCAAGAGUGGAAGUGGAAAGACCACUGGAAGCAACAGGUAGUGGAAGAUGAGAACAAGGAUCGACCUCAGCAAUACCUGGAGGGAGAAUUUCGGGCCUGGGGUCAGGGGUGGGGGCAAGGAGGAAUUAAGGUACCUUUUCUCAAAUGAGUGAAAAGUCCAUAUGCCCACCAUAUAAAAAGUUCUAUUUUCAUUCUAAAGACAGAGCAGGCUGUAUCCAAGGUGCUUACUAGUGGAGACUUUGGGACCAACAGAAACUGGAUUUAAGUGCACCAGCAGAGUGACCUUAAGAAAGUAAAUUAAUUAGGGAGUUUCUGUUGUGGCUCAGUGGUUAAUGAACCUGACUAGUAUCCACGAGGAUGGGGAUUCAAUCCCUGGCCUCGCUUAGUGGGUUAAAGAUCUGGCAUUGCUGUGAGCUGUCGUGUAGUUUACUUGUGCGGCUCCGAUCCUGCAUUGCUAUGGCUGUUGCAUAGGCCUGCAGCUACAGCUGUGAUUCGACCCCUAGCCUGGGAACCUCUAUAUGUCGCAGGU
rnacentral:lncRNA from 1 species